CGGGGCGUGGCGCAGCGGUAGCGCACCUGCUUUGGGAGCAGGGGGUCCCCGGUUCGAUCCCGGGCGCCCCGACCA
rnacentral:tRNA from 2 species